rnacentral:tRNA from 1 species
UAGUUCAGUUGGUUAGAACCAGCCUGUCACGCUAGGGGUCGUCGGUUCGAGCCCGUU